AUUGAACGCUGGCGGCAGGCCUAACACAUGCAAGUCGAGCGAGCGGCGGACGGGUGAGUAAUGUAUGGGGAUCUGCCUGAUGGAGGGGGAUAACUACUGGAAACGGUAGCUAAUACCGCAUACCAUCAGAUGUACCCAUAUGGGAUUAGCUUGUAGGUGAGGUAACGGCUCACCUAGGCGACGAUCCCUAGCUGGUCUGAGAGGCUGAUCAGCCACACUGGGACUGGGACACGGCCCAGACUCCUACGGUAGGCAGCAGUGGGGAAUAUUGCACCAUGGGCGCAAGCCUGAUGCAGCCAUGCCGCGGGUAUGAAGAAGGCCUUCGGGUUGUAAAGUACUUUCAGUCGGGAGGCGUUACCGACAGAAGAAGCACCGGCUAACUCCGUGCCAGCCGCCGCGGUAAUAC
rnacentral:rRNA from 1 species